rnacentral:rRNA from 1 species
AGCCGCGGUAAUACCAGCUCCACAAGCGUAUAUUAAUGUUGUUGCAGUUAAAAAGCUCGUAGUUGGAUAUCUGUCAUGACGGACCUGGCCCAACAUCCCUGAUGGGUUGCUGUGUGCCGGUUUUCGGCUUGCUGCAGUAGUCGCGCUUGUUCUUCGGAUCGGGUUGUGCUCUGCGCUUGCUUGUUCGUCGGACAUCCUUCAGGAGAACUGCUCUGCCAUUAAUUUGGUUGGGGCAAGGAUCCUGAUCGUUUACUUUGAAAAAAUUAGAGUGUUUAACGCAGGCUUCAUUGUCGCGAAUAGAUUAGCAUGGAAUAAUAAGAUAGGACUUCGGCACCGCUGGCUUCUGCAACGUGCUUGCAUGAACCGGAUGCUGGUCUUCUAUUUUGUUGGUUUCUAGAGCUGAAGUAAUGAUUGAUAGGGAUAGUUGGGGGUGCUCGUAUUGCGGGGCCAGAGGUGAAAUUCUCGGAUUCUCGUAAGACGAACUUCUGCGAAAGCAUUCACCAAGGAUGUCUUCUUUAAUCAAGAACGAAAGUUGGGGGAUCGAAGACGAUCAGAUACCGUCGUAGUCUCAACC